rnacentral:lncRNA from 1 species
GCCACCAAAACGACCACGACCCUGCUCCACUUCCUGUGGCGGACUCCACGCAGUUCCAUCAUUCCCUGACAGGCCGCAGUAACCAUCGCCACCCUGCUCCACUUCCUGUGGCGGAUUCCGCACAGCUCCACUAUCCCCUGGCAGGUCACAAUAACGGCCACGAACCUGCUCCACCUCCUGCGACGGAUACCAUGCAAUUCUCCUAUCCACUGGCAAGUCACGACAACGGACGCUGCUCCACCCCUC